UUUUCCUACGGGGGGCAGCAGUGGGGAAUAUUGCACAAUGGGGGAAACCCUGAUGCAGCAACGCCGCGUGAGUGAAGAAGUCAUUCGUGAUGUAAAGCUCUAUCAGCAGGGAAGAAAAUGACGGUACCUGAGUAAGAAGCCCCGGCUAACUACGUGCCAGCAGCCGCGGUAAUACGUAGGGGGCAAGCGUUAUCCGGAUUUACUGGGUGUAAAGGGAGCGUAGACGGCAGCGCAAGUCUGGAGUGAAAUGCCGGGGCCCAACCCCGGAACUGCUUUGGAAACUGUGCAGCUCGAGUGCAG
rnacentral:rRNA from 1 species